rnacentral:rRNA from 1 species
AUCUGCCCGGUAGUGGGGGAUAACCUGGGGAAACCCAGNCUAAUACCGCAUACGUCCUACGGGAGAAAGCAGGGGACCUUCGGGCCUUGCGCUAUCGGAUGAGCCUAUGUCGGAUUAGCUGGUUGGUGAGGUAAUGGCUCACCAAGGCGACGAUCCGUAGCUGGUCUGAGAGGAUGAUCAGCCACAUCGGGACUGAGACACGGCCCGAACUCCUACGGGAGGCAGCAGUGGGGAAUAUUGGACAAUGGGCGCAAGCCUGAUCCAGCCAUGCCGCGUGUGUGAAGAAGGCCCUCGGGUUGUAAAGCACUUUCAGUGGGGAAGAAAGCCUUCCGGUUAAUACCCGGGAGGAGGGACAUCACCCACAGAAGAAGCACCGUCUAACUCCGUGCCAGCAGCCGCGGUAAUACGGAGGGUGCGAGCGUUAAUCGGNAUUACUGGGCGUAAAGCGCGCGUAGGCGGCUUGAUAAGCCGGUUGUGAAAGCCCCGGUCUCAACCUGGGAACGGCAUCCGGAACUGUCAGNCUAGAGUGCAGGAGAGGAAGGUAGAAUUCCCGGUGUAGCGGUGAUAUGCGUAGAGAUCGGGAGGAAUACCAGUGGCGAAGGCGGCCUUCUGGACUGACACUGACGCUGAGGUGCGAAAGCGUGGGUAGCAAACAGGAUUAGAUACCCUGGUAGUCCACGCCGUAAACGAUGUCGACUAGCCGUUGGCUCCUUCGCGGACUUUGUGGCGCAGUUAACGCGAUAAGUCGACCGCCUGGGGAGUACGGCCGCAAGGUUAAAACUCAAAUGAAUUGACGGGGGCCGGCACAAGCGGUGGAGCCUGUGGUUUAAUUCGAUGCAACGCGAAGUAACCUUACCUACCCUUGACAUCCUGCGAACCCUUCGGAGACGAAGGGGUGCCUUCGGGAACGCAGAGACAGGUGCUGCAUGGCUGUCGUCAGCUCGUGUUGUGAAAUGUUGGGUUAAGUCCCGUAACGAGCGCAACCCUUGUCCCUAUUUGCCAGCGAUUCGGUCGGGAACUCUAGGGAGACUGCCGGUGACAAACCGGAGGAAGGUGGGGACGACGUCAAGUCAUCAUGGCCCUUACGGGUAGGGCUACACACGUGCUACAAUGGUCAGUACAAAGGGUUGCGAACUUGCGAGAGUGAGCCAAUCCCAGAAAGCUGAUCUCAGUCCGGAUCGGAGUCUGCAACUCGACUCCGUGAAGUCGGAAUCGCUAGUAAUCGUGAAUCAGAAUGUCACGGUGAAUACGUCCCCGGGCCUUGUACACACCGCCCGUCACACCAUGGGAGUGGACUGCACCAGAAGUGGUUAGCCUAACCUUCGGGAGGGCGAUCACCACGGUGUGGUUCAUGACUGGGGUGAAGUCGUAACAAGGU